rnacentral:rRNA from 1 species
AGUGAACGCUGGCGGUAGGCCUAACACAUGCAAGUCGAACGGCAGCACAGUAAGAGCUUGCUCUUACGGGUGGCGAGUGGCGGACGGGUGAGGAAUACAUCGGCAUCUACUUUUUCGUGGGGGAUAACGGAGGGAAACUUACGCUAAUACCGCAUACGACCUACGGGUGAAAGCAGGGGAUCUUCGGACCUUGCGCGAUUGAAUGAGCCGAUGUCGGAUUAGCUAGUUGGCGGGGUAAAGGCCCACCAAGGCGACGAUCCGUAGCUGGUCUGAGAGGAUGAUCAGCCACACUGGAACUGAGACACGGUCCAGACUCCUACGGGAGGCAGCAGUGGGGAAUAUUGGACAAUGGGCGCAAGCCUGAUCCAGCCAUACCGCGUGGGUGAAGAAGGCCUUCGGGUUGUAAAGCCCUUUUGUUGGGAAAGAAAAGCAGCAGGUUAAUCCCCCGCUGUUCUGACGGUACCCAAAGAAUAAGCACCGGCUAACUUCGUG